GUGCUAAUAAGAAUGUUGAAAGAACACCAAAACCAACAGAAGGGUGAAGGAAAUGUUAGUCAAGAACAGUUUGUACACGCCCAUGCAGUCGAGAGGAGAACUCUAAUAAGUGUGCGGGUGUGCUGAGGCUGCUGACUCUUUGCAAGAGUGUGGUACACAGCUGGGUCGUGGUCUGGGGAGCUGCCAGUGUAGAGCCACUGCUACUUAGUAGAGUUACCAGAGGCCCAAGCAGUGAGGCUACAACCGACCAGCCUGUGACCAACAGCAGACCCGUUCCUGUUGUGUUUGGCUUCGCCCACGCAGGAAGACGAAGUUGAGCACACCCAGCUAUGACGAACUGCACUUCUGUUUAACAGUUUCCCCCCAUUUGAGCUCUUUUUAACUAUCUUAGCCUCAGUCUGGUUUUAACCCUUUGCAUGUCCAUUUUAUACAAAUAAAUUUGGAGGUUAUAUUUUG